rnacentral:rRNA from 1 species
CCUACGGGAGGCUGCAGUGAGGAAUAUUGGUCAAUGGACGCAAGUCUGAACCAGCCAUGCCGCGUGCAGGAAGACGGCUCUCUGAGUUGUAAACUGCUUUUGUACGAGGGUAAACGCAGAUACGCGUAUCUGUCCGACAGUAUCGUACGAAUAAGGAUCGGCUAACUCCGUGCCAGCCGCCGCGGUAAUACGGAGGAUUCAAGCGUUAUCCGGAUUUAUUGGGUUUAACGGGUGCGUAGGCGGUCGGAUAAGUUAGAGGUGAAAUCCCGAGGCUCAACUUCGGAAUGGCCUCUGAUACUGUUCGGCUAGAGAGUAGAUGCGGUAGGCGGAAUGUAAGGUGUAGCGGUGAAAUGCUUAGAGAUCAUACAGAACACCGAUUGCGAAGGCAGCUUACCAAGCUACUUCUGACGUUGAGGCACGAAAGCGUGGGGAGCAAACAGGAUUAGAUACCCGAGUAGUC